rnacentral:lncRNA from 1 species
CCCUUUUCAAGGUCACUUUUUUGAUGGUACCGAAGAUCCCAUGGACUUUAAGGGACAGCUAACUGUGGCCAGCCCCAGCCUCGUAUCCUCGGCCAGGCCCAAGGAGAGCACUCGGCCCCACGGGGUGUGCCAGUCUCGCAGUCGCCCCUCCUGAGCAGCGUGAGCCAGAUGACGCUGCAGAGACCCGCCCCUCCCCUGAGCGUGGGUCGGUGUGGAGUGGGUGACUGCUGACUCGGAGCUCACUGGCCCCGUGGGCACCGUGCCAGGGCUGGGGCGUUCUGCUGCUGCCACGCCCAGCUGAGGCCUGGGCCCGCCCCUGCCACCAGCCCACUGAGGAGGUGGGCUUACUCCCUGGGUAGACUUGGGGGCCAGAGCUGACUCUGGGGGCCAGUCCAUAUAUAGUGGCUGGGCUGCUUUUUUCAGUAGCCCCUAGCAUUGUCUGGGAUUCCCGUCCCUGAGUGCGCCUCCACCUAUCUUCCGAUGCUUCCUGGCUGCGGUGGAGUGGGAACCUCAGUUUCCCCCGAAGUCUUCCCUGGAUGCUGGCUUCAGGUUGAAGUCCCUGGUUCUUCCAGUUCCUCACGGGUUAGAUAGGGGCUCCUGCAUCACCUUCAGAAUCCAGUUCCAACCCCCACCCUCAGGCCUUGUGCCCUGCUCUGCCCUGCCAGGCUGCCCUUGUCCAUGUGAGUAGCAUGGGCGGGAGGUGGGGACGACAGUGGUGAUGAAGGGGGUGCACCACAGGCCUCAUAUGGAGCAGUUCCCACAGGGGCGUGUGGCGGGGGCCUGGCCACCACAGAGCACAUGGCUGUGUCUAGGCGCAAGCACUUUAGCAGUAUCUGUUUACAUGCGCAAGGAUCAAGCCGACUACCCGUGCUGUCUACUGGGACAGCAGUCUCCGAGCUACUCCAUACCUCCCUCUGCCAGGUCGUGGAGUUGGGUCCCAGUUCCCACUUGUCACUGGUUCCCACUGUGCGCCUAACUGCAGCACCCGGGAGCUCUGGCCUGGGGCUGGAGGCCCUGGUAGGAACUGCCGUUGGAGUCCGGUCUGUGCCCAGCAGCAGUGAGCGGCUCCCGUGGGCCCUGUGUCUGCAGGAGCCGGGGCUGCGGCACAUGUGCUGUGAAACCGACACCCACCUGGCGUGCUGCUGCCGCCACUUGCUUUCCACAGCAUUUCCUACCCUGUUCCGUGUCCUUCCUCUCCCCGCGCCUGGCUCAGUAGUGCUGGAACAGCUCACGCCUCCGCCUGGGAGCCUGGCCUCUUGAUAUACCUCGAGCUUCCCCUGUGCUCCCCAGCCCCAGGACCACCGGCCCCUUGGCCUGAAGAGCUGGGAGCCCCAAGACCUGCAGCGUGGAGUCCGGGGCAGAGCCCGGAGCGGCGUGCCGUCCCACCAGAGCCUUCGCCCUGGCUUUCUCCCUGUCUGGAUUCAGUGGCUCACGUUGGUGCUACACAGCUAGAAUAGAUAUAUUUAGAGAGAGAGAUAUUUUUAAGACAAAACCCACAAUUAGCUGUCCUUUAACGCCGCAGAACCCCCUCCCAGAAGAAGAGCGAUCCCUCGGACGGUGCGGGCGGGCACCCUCAGCCGGGGCUCUUUGCAGAAGCAGCACCAAUGACUGUGGGCCCGGCCCUCAGAUGUGUACAUAUACGGCUAUUUCCUAUUUUACUGUUCUUCAGAUUUAGUACUUGUAAAUAAACACACACAUUAAGGAGAGAUUAAACAUUUU